rnacentral:rRNA from 1 species
CCUACGGGUGGCUGCAGUGGGGAAUAUUGGACAAUGGGGGGAACCCUGAUCCAGCCAUGCCGCGUGUGUGAAGAAGGCCCUCGGGUUGUAAAGCACUUUCAGUGAGGAAGAACGCCUGGUGGUUAAUACCCAUCAGGAAAGACAUCACUCACAGAAGAAGCACCGGCUAACUCCGUGCCAGCAGCCGCGGUAAUACGGAGGGUGCGAGCGUUAAUCGGAAUUACUGGGCGUAAAGCGCGCGUAGGUGGCUUGAUAAGCCGGUUGUGAAAGCCCCGGGCUCAACCUGGGAACGGCAUCCGGAACUGUCAAGCUAGAGUGCAGGAGAGGAAGGUAGAAUUCCCGGUGUAGUGGUGAAAUGCGUAGAGAUCGGGAGGAAUACCAGUGGCGAAGGCGGCCUUCUGGACUGACACUGACACUGAGGUGCGAAAGCGUGGGUAGCAAACAGGAUUAGAUACCCUUGUAGUC